CCAAGGAGUCUAACAUGUGUGCGAGUCGUAGGGUUCGUCCGAAACCCGAAGGCGCAGUGAAAGUAGAGGUCGGCUCUAUGCUCGGCCGAGGCAGGAUCCGUCGUUCUCUUUCCUUUUACCCGGGCACAUUCCCCUAACUCCGGUUAGGGUGUGUGUUUUUUUGGUCUGUAACUGGAAGUCGGCGGCGCACUGCCGGCCCGUCUCGACCGCCACGUCGGUGAGGCGGAGCAAGAGCACACACGUUGGGACCCGAAAGAUGGUGAACUAUUCCUAGGCAGGACGAAGCCAGAGGAAACUCUGGUGGAGGUCCGUAGCGUUUCUGACGUGCAAAUCGAUCGUCAGACCUGGGUAUAGGGGCGAAAGACUAAUCGAACCAUCUA
rnacentral:rRNA from 1 species